GAUAUUGGUCAAUGGGGGGAACCCUGAACCAGCGACACCGCGUGAGGGAAGAAGGUUUUCGGAUUGUAAACCUCUGUUGUCGGGGAAGAUAAUGACGGUACCCGAUGAGGAAGCCACGGCUACCCACGUGCCAGCAGCCGCGGUAAUACGUAGGUGGCAAGCGUUGUCCGCAAUUACUGGGUGUAAAGGGAGCGAAGGCGGGAAGGAAAGUUGAAUGUUAAAUCUAACGGCUCAAACGAUAACCGCGUUUAAAACUGUCUUUCUUGAGUUAAGUAGAAGCAAGGAGGAAUCCUAAUGGAGCGGUUAAAUGCGUAGAAAAUAGGAGGAAAACCAGUGGGGAAGGCGGGUUGCUGGGCUUUUACUGACGCUGAGGCUCGAAAGUGUGGGGAGCAAACA
rnacentral:rRNA from 1 species